rnacentral:tRNA from 1 species
GGGGGAGUAGCUCAGUAGUAAGAGCAAAUCUGGUAGUAAGGUCGCGCCAAUGACAACUAAAACAGAUGAGGUCAGCGGUUCAAAUCCGUUCUUCUCCA